UCUCCUGGGAAACGGGUGGUAAUGCCGGAUGCUCCGACUCCUCGCAUGGGGUGUCGGGAAAGAUUUCAUCGGUAUGGGAUGGGGUCGCGUCCUAUCAGGUAGUCGGCGGGGUAACGGCCCACCGAGCCUACGACGGGUAGCCGGCCUGAGAGGGCGACCGGCCACAUUGGGACUGAGAUACGGCCCAGACUCCUACGGGAGGCAGCAGUGGGGAAUAUUGCACAAUGGGCGCAAGCCUGAUGCAGCGACGCCGCGUGCGGGAUGACGGCCUUCGGGUUGUAAACCGCUUUUGAUCGGGAGCAAGCCUUCGGGUGAGUGUACCUUUCGAAUAAGCACCGGCUAACUACGUGCCAGCAGCCGCGGUAAUACGUAGGGUGCAAGCGUUAUCCGGAAUUAUUGGGCGUAAAGGGCUCGUAGGCGGUUCGUCGCGUCCGGUGUGAAAGUCCAUCGCUUAACGGUGGAUCUGCGCCGGGUACGGGCGGGCUGGAGUGCGGUAGGGGAGACUGGAAUUCCCGGUGUAACGGUGGAAUGUGUAGAUAUC
rnacentral:rRNA from 2 species